rnacentral:rRNA from 1 species
AUCGAACGCUGGCGGCAGGCUUAACACAUGCAAGUCGAACGGGUGUAGCAAUACAUCAGUGGCAGACGGGUGAGUAACACGUGGGAACCUUCCUAGAGGUACGGAACAACUCAGGGAAACUUGAGCUAAUACCGUAUAAGCUCUUGCGAGGAAAGAUUUACCGCCUUUAGACGGGCCCGCGUAGGAUUAGGUAGUUGGUGGGGUAAUGGCCUACCAAGCCUACGAUCCUUAGCUGAUCUGAGAGGAUGAUCAGCCACACUGGGACUGAGACACGGCCCAGACUCCUACGGGAGGCAGCAGUGGGGAAUCUUGGACAAUGGGCGCAAGCCUGAUCCAGCCAUGCCGCGUGAGUGAAGAAGGCCUUCGGGUUGUAAAGCUCUUUUACCAGGGACGAUAAUGACGGUACCUGGAGAAUAAGCCCCGGCAAACUUCGUGCCAGCCGCCGCCGUAACAC